GGGUUGUGAGGUUAAGCGACUAAGCGUACACGGUGGAUGCCCUGGCAGUCAGAGGCGAUGAAGGACGUGCUAAUCUGCGAUAAGCGUCGGUAAGGUGAUAUGAACCGUUAUAACCGGCGAUUUCCGAAUGGGGAAACCCAGUGUGAUUCGUCACACUAUCAUUAACUGAAUCCAUAGGUUAAUGAGGCGAACCGGGGGAACUGAAACAUCUAAGUACCCCGAGGAAAAGAAAUCAACCGAGAUUCCCCCAGUAGCGGCGAGCGAACGGGGAGCAGCCCAGAGCCUGAAUCAGUGUGUGUGUUAGUGGAAGCGUCUGGAAAGGCGCGCGAUACAGGGUGACAGCCCCGUACACAAAAAUGCACAUACUGUGAGCUCGAUGAGUAGGGCGGGACACGUGGUAUCCUGUCUGAAUAUGGGGGGACCAUCCUCCAAGGCUAAAUACUCCUGACUGACCGAUAGUGAACCAGUACCGUGAGGGAAAGGCGAAAAGAACCCCGGCGAGGGGAGUGAAAAAGAACCUGAAACCGUGUACGUACAAGCAGUGGGAGCACGCUUAGGCGUGUGACUGCGUACCUUUUGUAUAAUGGGUCAGCGACUUAUAUUCUGUAGCAAGGUUAACCGAAUAGGGGAGCCGAAGGGAAACCGAGUCUUAACUGGGCGUUAAGUUGCAGGGUAUAGACCCGAAACCCGGUGAUCUAGCCAUGGGCAGGUUGAAGGUUGGGUAACACUAACUGGAGGACCGAACCGACUAAUGUUGAAAAAUUAGCGGAUGACUUGUGGCUGGGGGUGAAAGGCCAAUCAAACCGGGAGAUAGCUGGUUCUCCCCGAAAGCUAUUUAGGUAGCGCCUCGUGAAUUCAUCUCCGGGGGUAGAGCACUGUUUCGGCAAGGGGGUCAUCCCGACUUACCAACCCGAUGCAAACUGCGAAUACCGGAGAAUGUUAUCACGGGAGACACACGGCGGGUGCUAACGUCCGUCGUGAAGAGGGAAACAACCCAGACCGCCAGCUAAGGUCCCAAAGUCAUGGUUAAGUGGGAAACGAUGUGGGAAGGCCCAGACAGCCAGGAUGUUGGCUUAGAAGCAGCCAUCAUUUAAAGAAAGCGUAAUAGCUCACUGGUCGAGUCGGCCUGCGCGGAAGAUGUAACGGGGCUAAACCAUGCACCGAAGCUGCGGCAGCGACGCUUAUGCGUUGUUGGGUAGGGGAGCGUUCUGUAAGCCUGUGAAGGUGUACUGUGAGGUAUGCUGGAGGUAUCAGAAGUGCGAAUGCUGACAUAAGUAACGAUAAAGCGGGUGAAAAGCCCGCUCGCCGGAAGACCAAGGGUUCCUGUCCAACGUUAAUCGGGGCAGGGUGAGUCGACCCCUAAGGCGAGGCCGAAAGGCGUAGUCGAUGGGAAACAGGUUAAUAUUCCUGUACUUGGUGUUACUGCGAAGGGGGGACGGAGAAGGCUAUGUUGGCCGGGCGACGGUUGUCCCGGUUUAAGCGUGUAGGCUGGUUUUCCAGGCAAAUCCGGAAAAUCAAGGCUGAGGCGUGAUGACGAGGCACUACGGUGCUGAAGCAACAAAUGCCCUGCUUCCAGGAAAAGCCUCUAAGCAUCAGGUAACAUCAAAUCGUACCCCAAACCGACACAGGUGGUCAGGUAGAGAAUACCAAGGCGCUUGAGAGAACUCGGGUGAAGGAACUAGGCAAAAUGGUGCCGUAACUUCGGGAGAAGGCACGCUGAUAUGUAGGUGAAGUCCCUCGCGGAUGGAGCUGAAAUCAGUCGAAGAUACCAGCUGGCUGCAACUGUUUAUUAAAAACACAGCACUGUGCAAACACGAAAGUGGACGUAUACGGUGUGACGCCUGCCCGGUGC
rnacentral:rRNA from 1 species